rnacentral:rRNA from 1 species
UACGUAGGGGGCUAGCGUUGUCCGGAAUCAUUGGGCGUAAGAGCGUGUAGGCGGUCCGGUAAGUCCGCUGUGAAAGUCGGGGGCUCAACCCUCGAAUGCCGGUGGAUACUGUCGGGCUAGAGUGCGGAAGAGGCGAGUGGAAUUCCUGGUGUAGCGGUGAAAUGCGCAGAUAUCAGGAGGAACACCUAUUGCGAAGGCAGCUCGCUGGGACGUAACUGACGCUGAGACGCGAAAGCGUGGGGAGCAAACAGG